rnacentral:lncRNA from 1 species
CCUGCCUCUGCUCUCUGCUUUCAGACCAUGACUCUGUGUGAGGGCGGGCACUUCUUUCUCCUGUGGUGGUAAUGAUGAAUCAGAUGGAAUGGCUGCUGAUGCUUGGAUGUCAAUUAGUGAAACUCUAACUGCAGGGAAACCUCUCAGACAGGUCCUAAGUGUCUUAAUCUCUCAGUAGGCUUUCUCCUCUAAAGGCUUAGGUGGCUGAUAGUGUGUUUGAGUUGCUGAUCCUUUCUUUGAUCACGCCUUAUAGGAUUAUUCUGUAAUGAGAUGGUGCCGAGGAAGUGAGGCUGUGAUUUGGUUGUCGUACUCAUGCUUAGGCAAACUCCAUCCUUUCAGUUUUCUUCCUUCUUCUUUUGCUCCCUUCAGUGGCAUAGAAACCCUUCAGUGGCAUUCUCACCAAAGCACAUAACUUUUGAUUCCUCCAGCUCUCACCAAACUGUAGAAGAGUCAGAGGGAUCCUCAAACAGGAAAAUAGGAUUUAUCAGUUCCUUGCAUACCCAGGGCACUUUCCCCUUGUUAUCAUCUUAUUUCAAAACCAUGACACCUGAUCCUUAUGGCAAUGUGGGGGUAGUCAGGGUUAAGUGUUACUACUUCCAAUUUACAGAAGAGGAAAAUAAGGUUCAGAGAGAGAGAGAGCGCUACAGGACAGCAGAUCCAUUCCAAGACCAGUACUCUCAUUUCCUUACUGCAACAGGACCCUCUGACCACCCAGGUCUUUGGAACAGCAGAUGCGGAGGGAUCUUCCUAAUUCAAUGAGAGAAGCAGACUUCAUGCAGCCAGAAGGAUUUGGAUUAGACAGUCAAGGACUUCCUGCCUGUUAAAUGAUCAGAAGAAGGUAAGGCUUUUCUUGCCGGCUCCCAUGUCCUCUGACAUGAGCCAGGCACUCUCUGAUCUGAAGACAGAGGUGCAUGAAGAAAAUCUGGGAGGUGCUUUCAUCUCAGGAAUCUGCUAACUGCCAGAACAGGAGGUAGGAAGGAGGGGAGGAAGAGUCUAUUAAAAUCCACUCUGUUACAGAGAGGUUCAAUAGAGAGGCUGGCGUCUGGGCUCAGAGUGACUCAUGCCCUUGCUGAUGUCCUGACAGCUAGAGGGUCUUGGCUGGCUUGGGUUUCCCUACUUGCAUUGGCUCAGAAGGCUCUUCGAGGUGGAGGUCUCCGGCCGGCUUCCAGGUAGAGUUGGUUAGCACCAAUAUUCCCUACUCUGGGUUGUGAGAGCGCUUUGGUGAAAAAAAAAAAAAAAGCAAUAUAGUAAAAAUCUUGGCUAUCUAAAAUACCUCUGGAAAUGAAGCAUUUUGGAUAGUGGAAUUUUCCAUAAAGCUGAGGAUUUUUCCAUUUAAGUCGAGACUUUUAUUUUGUGUGUUUUUUUAGAUAGAUUGAAUCAAUAUAACAUUUCUGGUUUACUUGGAGACAAGAAGUGAAUGAUAGUUGGUCCAUGCCAUUAAUACAGUCAUUCCCUGGGGGUUAAUGAACUACAUUGUUCACCCCAAAAGUAAAUGCUGACACCUUUGUGUUUAUUGAGCUCCUCUGUCUGCUUUUUUGUUUUUCUGACCCUCCUUGCUUUAGGAGAUCUCACCUCUCGUUCCUUGCCAAUAUCAGUGCAUCUGAUUCUAGUGCUCUCAGUUUUUCUUUGCAUUUGUCUCUUUUUUCCCCAUUUGUAGAUCACAAGCUACUGGUGAUUUUACCUAUUUUUGUCCAGUACCUGGUAUGGGAUCAAAAAUUUAGAGGCUCAUUAUUUAUAUUUAUAUUAAUUUAUUUGUUCAAUAAGCAAGUAUUGGGCAUUUACGCUGUAGUAGGCAACAUGGUAAGUGCUGAGGAUAUAAUGAUGAAAAACUCAGAUGAACAGGCUGACUUGUUUCGUGAUCUGGGAAUUCACUUCUAAAGGAGGCUGGCUCAGCCCUUCCCGCAAGUCCACUCCUGUCUCACUACCCUCCAGCCUCAUGGCUCUCAUACUGCGUGUGCCCUGGCAUCACCUGGAUGACCUGUUAAACACGCACAUACACACACACAGCUGGGCUGCACCCUUGGAGUUUCUGACUCUUUCAUGAGACCCAGGAAUGCUUCCUUCUCGUCAGUUCCCACAGAUGCUGAUGCUACUGGUCUGGGAGGGUCACACCAGAAGCACCAGUUUCGCCACGUGACCUUCAGUCUGCCCUUCAAGUGCUCAGACUCGCUCCUACCUCCAGGAGCUGGCUUCUGCUGUGCCCUCUGUCUGAUCUUGGCCCCGAGGGCCCGCGUUCAUCCUCUGCUCAGAGAGGCCUUGCCUGAACAUCCAAGAGAAUAUUGUUUUCCCCUUCCCAGCCCCUCAAUGUCAUAUUCCUUGGUUUUGUUCCUCCUUAGACUUCUGUCACUCUCUGAAAUUACCUUUGUGUGGUUGUCUCAAGGGUAACUGUGACUGAUGAAGAGAUACUAACACACCCGGACAAAGGAUGCACGUUUCUUUCAUGUAAUUAAAAGACAUAAGAGUUUCCAUGCGUGAGGACGGCUACAAAGCUGAGGCGGGGAUUGUGCGUUGUGGGGGGAGUGCGGUGGUGGGUGGGGAGCCAUGGUUUUUCACUGAAAGUCACAGCCCUGUGGCUGGUGUGUCAGCCGGCUGAGGUGAGGAUCCCCUCCGUCCUCAGGGAGCUCCGCCUUGUCUGUUCUUAGGGUCCUGUCACUCUCUGGACUCCUGCUUACUGCUCUGCAGACUAGAGCGUUUCCUGCAAGCCCAGUUUCCCAGGUGAAACAGCCGCUUGGCAGGAUGGAAUUCCAGAUUUGCUUGCAUCUGUUCCUGCAAUCUUGUAUUUUAAUUUUUUGUCUUAUCUAUCUUGUUGUUGUUCAGUCACUUAGUUGUGUCCAACUUUUUGUAAUCCCAUGAACUGCAGCCUCCCAGGCUUUCCUGUCCUUCCCUAGCUACUUGAGUUUGGUCAAACUCAUGUUCAUUGAGUCAGUGAUGCCAUCCAACUAUCUCAUCCUCUGUUGUCCCCUUCUCCUCCUGCCCUCAAUCUUUCCCAGCAUCAGGGUCUUUUCCAAUGAGUCAGCUCUUCACAUCAGGUAGCUUUGGCUACCUGUGUAUUGGAGCUUCAGCUUCAGCAUCUGUCCUUCCAAUGAAUAUUCAGGGUUGAUUCCCUUUAGGAUGGACUAGUUUGAUCUCCUUGCUGUCCAAGAGACUCUCAAGAGUCUUCUCCAGCACCACAGUUCAAAAGUAUCAAUUCUUCAGCUUAUCUAUCUUAUUUGUUUGUUUAUCUGUCUCUCUCCCAAGAGUGUAUAAUAGCCAUGGCAGGUGAGUGAGAGGUGAGGGGAUUGGCUUUCCUCUUUGCUAGUGUUUCCUCAGUUCCCAGAGCCUUGCAGGGAAGGGACAUUUACUACUUGUAAGCUCCCUCCUCCUUCCUUCACCUAAUGGGGAGGUAAGUAUGUGCCUGUUGAAUGUAAUUUAAUUCUUUCAGGGCCACGAGCAUCCACCCUCCAAAGACAGUCCUCUGUUACCCUGCAGCUCAUUUCAGAGAGUGCCAGGAGGAGAAAGGCAAAUGGUAGCAAGAGCACACGGUCCUUCCUUCCAAUCUUAACGGAGCAUGAGCUCUCAGGCAAGAGCCGUUUGUUCAUGUUCUGCUUUUUUUGUUUUUCUCCCUCUCAUUUCCCCUGCUCUGGUGUGUUGCUCUGACUUCAGAGCUGUAAUAACAAACCUAUUACUACAGUAAGACACCAGAAGGGGAAAAUGAGACUAAGUUACCAAGGAAGAAAGAGACUCA